GUGGGGGCCAAAAUUUCGGAAAAUGAAAUAUAUACUAAUUGUUUUAUUAAUAUAGGUCUCUGGGUUCCUUUAACAAUUUCCAUAGCAAGAAUGUGUGUCGUUGGUGUGUCACGGUCUAUAUUGCGGUUCCCGUAUAUGUAAUCGUCUGUAAUUAAUACUAAUUUGAAAUUUGAUUCAUUUCUGCAGAAAGACUUGGAUAAUUUGGUGGAAAUCUGGAAUACACAUACCAUCUCUGGAAGAAUGAGGAUGCGUGGUGGAAAUAGACCAAUUAUGAUGUACACACUACCAGAACUUUUUGACAAGCGACACUGUCUUUGUUAUGUAGAUGAGGCAGAAAUAAACGUCUGUGCUGAAGAAACUACCCCGAAGUCAGACUUUCCAUGCGAUGAAACUGUCAGAGAACUUUGCCUUGUGUUAAUGGAGGAAAAUGGAUAUGUUCUUCCUGACGAGGCCGAGGACGCGAAAAAAUUGUAUAUCCAUCUGAGAGAAUUGAUCCUAUCGCUACUAUGAUACACAGUGUAACAGAACGCAUGUUCUAUUGAUACACAUAAUAAAUGUUUAUUAAAAUCAGUUCACAUUUAAAUCAUCCCACGAAUUACCGUCUGGUCACUUCGUAGUUAUAACUUGGUCUUUACCACUGCGAAGAGUAUCUUUGUUUUCUUUCUUUUUUUUAUUAAAAGUUGAAAGUUAUCCUGUUAUGCUUUUAUGGAUAUUAACUAAAAUAACUCCAUGAAUAUGUCAUUAUUAGCCUAAUCAUAUUUCGAAGGAUAAAUCUAUGAGGUCACAAAUGCAUAUGUAGUAAACAUUCGGAAUGGUUCCAUUUGGAUUCUUGCGUAAAUGAUUUCUCAAUACGGUCAAUGGAUAUUUUGAAAGUCAACGACUUGUAAAGUUUCAUCGAUUAAUUAAUCACAGCUGCUAAUGUCAUACCUUAUACACAGCUUUGGAUAAAUCUUACUUUAAUAUUAAUUUAUCAAAAUUUCGUCAGGAAUUCAAUUCCUCAUUUAACCACAUAAUAUAAUCUUAAAACUUGGAGAUUUAGAUGUAUUUGGUCACGAUGUUCUGCUACACGUUUGGAUACAUUUUUGUUUAUAAGAUCUGAGGAGUAACCUCCCUUUAAUUCAAGGCUUCGUAUGUGAGUUACUGCCCUUACUGGAACUCUUUUUCGUCAUUAAUGUGAACAGUCGGCCAUUACAACGACGAAGCACGUUGUUUUUAUUCCUAUUGAAAUGUUGAUAUAGGCUUGGUCGAGCCUUGAAUUCUUCACUAUUACAAGAAUAACAAGAAAAGAUGUUAUAAGAGGACUAUUACCAUUACUGAGGUUAAAGUUCAAGUCUUUUCAUCAUGAUCACCAGAUUUAUGUUGUCCUGGAUAAAUUUGGAUGGAAAUUGACUACAAUAAAACCAAUACCAACACGUA